CCCAGUAACGGCGAGUGAAGCGGCAACAGCUCAAAUUUGAAAUCUGGCCCCCCGCGGGCCCGAGUUGUACUUUGGAGAGGACGCUUCUGGCGCGGCGCCGUCCGAGUUCCCUGGAACGGGACGCCGGAGAGGGUGAGAGCCCCGUACGGGCGGCCGCCUAGCCUCUGCGAAGCUCCUUCGACGAGUCGAGUAGUUUGGGAAUGCUGCUCAAAAUGGGAGGUAAAUUUCUUCUAAAGCUAAAUACCGGCCAGAGACCGAUAGCGCACAAGUAGAGUGAUCGAAAGAUGAAAAGCACUUUGAAAAGAGGGUCAAACAGUACGUGAAAUUGUUGAAAGGGAAGCGCCUGUGGCCAGACUUGCGCCCCGCGGACCACCCGGCGCCUCGCGCGCCGGGGCACGCCAGCGGGGCGCAGGCCAGCAUCGGCUCUCUCGGGGGGACAAAGGCCGCGGGAACGUAGCGCCCUCGCGGCGUAUUAUAGCCCGCGGCGCCAUGCCCCCGGGGGGGCCGAGGACCGCGCUCCGGCAAGGAUGCUGGCGUAAUGGCCACCGGCGACCCGUCUUGAAACACGGACCAAGGAGUCAAGCAUUGGGGCGAGUGUCUGGGUGGCAAGCCCGCACGCGGAAUGAAAGUGAACGCAGGUGGGAGCUUCGGCGCACCACCGACCGAUCCUGAUGUCCUCGGAUGGAUUUGAGUAGGAGCCCCGCCGCUUGGACCCGAAAGAUGGUGAACUAUGCCUGUAUAGGGUGAAGCCAGAGGAAACUCUGGUGGAGGCCCGCAGCGGUUCUGACGUGCAAAUCGAUCGU
rnacentral:rRNA from 1 species